rnacentral:rRNA from 1 species
GACGAACGCUGGCGGCGUGCUUAACACAUGCAAGUCGAACGGAAAGGCCCUGCUUUUGUGGGGUGCUCGAGUGGCGAACGGGUGAGUAACACGUGAGUAACCUGCCCUUGACUUUGGGAUAACUUCAGGAAACUGGGGCUAAUACCGGAUAGGAGCUCCUGCUGCAUGGUGGGGGUUGGAAAGUUUCGGCGGUUGGGGAUGGACUCGCGGCUUAUCAGCUUGUUGGUGGGGUAGUGGCUUACCCAGGCUUUGACGGGUAGCCGGCCUGAGAGGGUGACCGGCCACAUUGGGACUGAGAUACGGCGCAGACUCCUACGGGAGGCAGCAGUGGGGAAUAUGGCACAAUGGGCGGAAGCCUGAUGCAGCAACGCCGCGUGCGGGAUGACGGCCUUCGGGUUGUAAACAGCUUUCGCCUGUGACGAAGCGUGAGUGACGGUAAUGGGUAAAGAAGCACCGGCUAACUACGUG